UACAGAGGUCUCGAGCGUUAGGCGGAAUCACUGGGCUUAAAGCGUGUGUAGGCGGAUCGUUAAGUGCCUUGUGAAAUCCCACGGCUCAACCGUGGAACUGCUUGGCAUACUGGCGGUCUUGAGCAACCUAGGGGCGAGCGGAACAAAUGGUGGAGCGGUGAAAUGCGUAGAUAUCAUUUGGAACGCCAAUGGUGAAAACAGCUCGCUGGGGGUUUGCUGACGCUGAGACACGAAAGCCAGGG
rnacentral:rRNA from 1 species